rnacentral:lncRNA from 1 species
GGGUUUUGUGAUUUAGAAAUUAGGAUAACAAGAAUAUUUGUGGAUAGAUGAGUAUUCUUUAAGAAUUUUUCAUCAAUAUGUUGUAUUUCAAAAUAAUUUUCUUAGAAACUUCUAUUUUAGGAAAGUUUUCAUUUUUUGAGAAAUAUUGUAGAUUUUGGUUUGGUGAUUUAGAAAUUAGGAUAACAAGAAUAUUUGUGGAUAGAUGAGUAUUUUUUUAGAAUUUUUCAUCAAUAUGUUGUAUUUUAAAAUAAUUUUCUUAAAAAUUUCUAUUUUAGGAAAGUUUUCAGUUUUUUUGAGAAAUAUUGUAGAUUUGGUUUUGUGAUUUAGAAAUUAGGAUAACAAGAAUAUUUGUGGAUAGAUGAGUAUUGUUUAAGAAUUUUUCAUCAAUAUGUUGUAUUUUCUAAUAAUUUUCUUAGAAACUUCUAUUUUAGGAAAGUUUUCAGUUUUUUUG